UGAGAUCUUUUCUCUUGAUUCUUUUGAGAACUCAUGAACUUAUUAAGAAUAUUUUCUAAUGGAAUUUAAAUAUGACUUGUUAUUCUCCUUCUUUUCUAUUCUAGAGAGUGGCGUCAGCUUAUACCUUUGGUUCAUGUCAAUUAUAGACAUUGGGUCAAUGUUUUUGUACUUUUGGUUCAUGAUUAUCUAUAAUCAUUAGGCCGAGGUUUUUAUACUUUUGGUUUGUGUUAAGUAUAGACAUUGGGUCAAGGUUUUCUUUCACUUAUAUAAAUCUAAUUUAAUUUUUUUGGGUUCUUAGCUUCCUUGCUUAUGUGUAGGGUCUAAUAGUUUAUCUAUGAGUGUAAUAUCCACAGGUGUGUUUAAGGUUAUUUUAGUUUUUUUAGCAUUUUUCAUGUGUGAGGUUGUGCUUGAGAAGCGUUUAUGCGAUUUGUGGCAUGUAGAGCCGUGUAUGAGAGGCUACACACCUAUGUAUGAUGUGGCAAAGAUGGCAAAAUAGACUUUUUGCAUAUAGUAUAUUUUGGUCAUUUUUGGCUAGGAUACACGUCCGUGUAAGUGGGAAUCUAGUCAAUAAAUUUUGAAUUUUGAGAUAAAGAUAUAUUUUAUGGGAAUCUUGCAAUGUGGCUUUAAUGUUUGAUAAUUGGCGUACACGCUUAUGUAUGUUUGUUUGAUCUGAAAAUAAAAACAGUCACAGAAGAGGUAGCUUUCAUUUUUUCUCAAAAUCUUGUUAGCAAAACAUGAGAGAAAAGAGGAUUGGAGAGCGCUAGGGUCAUAUUUUGCUAGGAGAAAAGGUUUUGGGAGUCGUUCAAGCCAUAGGAAGACUAGCAUUAUCGUUUUAUCAAGGUUCUGGAGCAACAAAAUAGUGGCGGGGAGACUAGUGGAAUGACUCGUUUUGAUACAUAAGGGCAAGGGACUUGGAUGAUAUUCAUUGUUAUUUGUAAACCAUUCAUUACACUUUUAUGGAUUCUUUACAUAUAUUAAUGUAUGUGAAUUUGACUGUUAUUGGUUUAGAUUGAUUUGUAUGAACUUAGACUUACAUUUAGAUGCUUUCAUUCAAA